GACGAACGCUGGCGGCGUGCCUAAUACAUGCAAGUAGAACGCAGUUGCGAACGGGUGAGUAACGCGUAGGUAACCUGCCUCAUAGCGGGGGAUAACUAUUGGAAACGAUAGCUAAUACCGCAUACUGUGAGAUGGACCUGCGUUGAAGUAGCUAGUUGGUGAGGUAAAGGCUCACCAAGGCGACGAUACAUAGCCGACCUGAGAGGGGGACCGGCCCCACUGGGCCUGAGACACGGCCCAGACUCCUACGGGAGGCAGCAGUGGGUAAUUUUGGACAAUGGGGGCACCCCUGAUCCAGCCAUGCCGCGUGUAUGAAGCAGGCCUUCGGGUUGUAAAGUACUUUUGUUAGGGAAGCGGUCCCUAAAGAAUAAGCACCGGCUAACUACGUGCCAGCCGCCGCGGUAAUUC
rnacentral:rRNA from 1 species